rnacentral:pre_miRNA from 1 species
UUGGUUUAAAUCAUUGCAGAUCUACACUUUGAAAAUAGAACUCGCAUAAAGUGGUGGGACAUACAUUGAUUUCAUCCAA